CUGCGGCGGUAGAGGAUGAUGAGUGGACGUCUCGUCUGUGGCGGUUUGGCAGCACUGAGGUUUGGCUCUGAAGCUGGAAACACACCUGCUCCCUGUCAGAAGAAAUGAUUCGAUCUGUUUUAUAAGAGGGAGAAAUGUCCAGUGCAGGUCCACGGCCAGUCGAAACUUUCCGGUGGACCACAGAAACGUCUUUGUGGAUUCCACCCUCCUAAAGUGUUCAUUUCAGACUUUCAGGUCGUAAGUGUUUCACCUGCUGCAAGUGUUCCACCUGCUUUACUCCACUCCUACUGCUGUAGCGCCCCCUACCUCCACCCCCACAUUAUACAGCCCUUUAUAUGUCAUUAUCAUCAUUAUUAUUAU